rnacentral:lncRNA from 1 species
AUAAGAACCUGGGGUCUUUUUGUUACUCACGUCUCACAUCUACGUCAGCUGCUCACAUCACACACAUCUUGCCAGUGGCUCCUGCUGCUGUCACUACAAACAGCUGACCCAGGACCUACACAGCCUUCAGCUUCAUUGAGGUGUUUCCUAGCCUGCAGUGCUGGCCGGACCCUGCCCUGGCUGUAAGCUACUGCUGAUCCUGAGAAACCAGGAGCCUGCUGCUGUUAGUCACUCUUGAAGAACUGGUAACAUCUCACAGUUCAGUUUUGUGAUUCAAUCAAGAAAAUAUGCAUCAAAAGACGCUCUCACAGGUGCUAACGGAUGAUUCUACUCUAAGUUCUUAUAGAAGGUGAACACUGUUGUAAACAGACCUUUAACCUUUACAGUCUUUCAUCAAGGAACUUCCAGGACUCACAAACCAACAGUCAGCCGAUUUCCUGAAGGACGUGUGACGUCUGGAUAUAUAACGCCUGCCAGGGGUUCUGGUGGCCCAGGCCGAGCCCUGGCCUUGCCCUAUGGUAUCCUUGGAGGUAGGUCCCAGAGCAAUGUGUGAUGCACAGGGCCCAUCCUAGACAGACAUUUAUUCAUCACUCUAUCCAUGGCUCUAAAUAUUUCCUCCAAAAGAUCAACCACUCUCUCCUGCAUUUCUGAUGCCAGCUCAAAUCUAAUCUCAAAAAGGAGGGGGCGGAAACACAGUUGCCGCUGAGAAAGAGAUAAGAAGAGAGUAGGAAGAGUCAGGAUGGCUAAGGAUGCAGGGAGCAAUGGACGUCCACUCCCACUCAGAUGGAGUAGCUAUGCCUCUUGCUAGGUGGGCUAGCCUGCCUACCGAGCCAUUCUCAGGCCCAGCCUCUGCACAGCCCAGUCCCAUGGACCCAGUUCCAUGCUCACCCAUCUGCAGCAUCCUGGCUGCACUGCUCCAUGCCUGAGAACCCAGAGCUUCCUGCGCUCUCACAGGCUCACUCUGGGUCUGGGCAUCUCCUUGGGGCUCUGCUUAGGACUUUCCUAGGGUCCUGGCUGGGCACGUACAUCACCCCUGACUACCGCCUUUGAUGUCCACACCAGUGUUUCUCUCAAGCAAGAUCCUGAGAGCCAUAUAAAAGGUGCCCUGUGUUCCAGGUGCUUUGCUGGACUUUUUAAGCUGGGUGGAAUCUCAGCUGUGGCUAAGACCCCUGAUUCCUUCUUCUGAUGGGACCUGCUUUCUGCUCUGCCCACAUCUGCCGUGAACCAGGCACACUCUGGCCCCCACGUCACAAUGCUCCAGCAUCCCAGGUAUGUCCACAUCCGUAAGACAGACAAUGCAUCACUCGCUGCUUCCUAUCCUUGAAUGAAACAGGCACUGCUUGAUGCAGUGAGCCAGGAUGCCCACAUGCUGCAGAAACGCAAAGGUGGGGAUUUCACUCUGGAGCAGGAGCAUCAACUAGCAAGACACAGGACCUCAAGAUGGUGCCACCAAGUGGGAAGCACGGGAACUGCAAGGACGACAGGCUGACAGGAGGGGGCAGAGCCAGAGUGGGACUCAUCAGGGAAAGAGACCACUGUGACCUUUCCCAGGAGACAGGACACAACUCAGCUAGUUAAGUAAUUUGGUACUAGGACAUUUUUAGAAUCAUGAUUCCUUUUCAAUAUGAAACAUGAGCCUUGUAAUUGAUACAAUUCAGAAGCAACUUUGGUAUCCUCUAGCUGCUAUCAAGUGCUCCCCACCUUCAUUCGAGGGCAAAGGAUGGUGGCCAGCUGGCCUGACUCAGGGACUGACCUGCACACUUUAGUUAGAUCUUGGUUUCUUUAAAAACCACAGGAAUAUCGUGGGACUAUGGUUUUGUUUUAACCCAGGUGUGGGAUACGGGGCUGCUUCAGACUAUCCACAGCAGCUGACUGUGACUUGCCUCGUACUCUAGCCGGGCUAUGACUUUACCAGCUGUAGAUAGUUUCUGCAACCGUGUAAGGUCUGGAAUUCUAGGGGUUUUUCAGAGGGUAUAAAUGCUAGGGCCCCAAGAAGCCUUGGGGGUGGAGGGAUUGGGUUGGGUUGUUGGUUGAACAAUGGUGGGUGGGUGGUUGUUAUUGGGUUACCAUUUGUUAAACAGUUGUGAGC